CUUUAUUCCCCCAAGGGCCCAAACCUUUUUCUUUAGAAAAUGCGGAUCCUCACAAUCACCUAUUAGCCGAUAUCAGUUAAUAACUCAUCUAGGUGCAUAGAAGGCUAACUUUGGGAAGCUCAUACCACAUCACAUUUUAAAUCAAAAUGCUAUGUCGCAUGCCACGGAGUUCUUCCUCAGCUCUAUUCCAGCGUGGCACCCAUCCCCAUCGUCACCCACCUCAACUAGGUGGUGUCCAGCCCCUCCACCUUAUGUUACUAUCAACACAGAUAGAAGCUCAAAAGGGAAUCCAGGAAUGUUCGGUGCGGGUGGUGUGGGGUUUCUCCUUGCACCAAGGAUUUACCAACAAUACCAUGGCAGAGCUUUGGGGUAUUAGGGAAGCUUUGCUUCGAGCUUGGGACAACAGUCACCACCGAGUUUGCCUUCAAACCAAUUCUCUAGUUGCUACUAAAUGGCUGAAUAAUAAUGUGGUUUACUCUAUGGAGUUUUCUAACUUGAUAUUGGAUUGCAAGUGGCUCCUCAACAGGGACUAGAAGGCACGCGUUCAGCAUGUGUGGAGAGAGACAAAUAGCUGUGCGGACUUACUGACAAAGAGGGGUGCAUCUCAAUUUGAGAGGGAAAUUUUGUAUGAUACAUGCCCCACCUUUUUGUGGCAAUGUUUAUAUUAGGACUCCAUGAGUUUUGUUUCAUCCUAGAGUUGUCGCGGUCAAUAAUGGUUCAGUUGUCUUGCUUUUUGUUUUGGUACCAGCUAUUAGCUCUCAUUGGGUUUGGUUUGUGGUAGUAGGUUGUUCUGUUGUUGCCCUUUGCGGUUUGGUGGACUGUUUAUGUGUUGGUCUAGCUUGGUUUAGUGUCUAUGUGUUGCUGUAUGUACUGUAGUCAAGUUGUGAUUGUACUGUUUAUGUUUAUCUA